AGGGUUACAGCCUACGAGGUGCUCCUUCUGACAGGCUGGGAAGUAUAGCCUCUGGCAGGGACCUUUAGCAGGCAUUUCAAAGGAGAAAAGGUGAGACAGGAACUUAUGCUGAAGGGGUUGGCUCAACAUACAUAUUCAACAGAUUAUAGGAGGAGCGAUGAAUAUUCAUGAAGGUGUCCUGACCCAUUGAACAAACAUGCAUAUUACAUAUGACCCAUAUUUACUCUGAGGUGGAGACUUAACAUUCAAAUGCAUGACAAUUAAGCCUUAUAUGUCACAGUGUGAAGUAGGGACACAGGCACUCGGUGCACAGCUGCUGUAAACCAGCCAGAACCAGUCCAUGGUCGGUGACCUCAACAGGAGACAGGUAUUGAAAUCAGCCCCUUGUCAAUCAAAGCUAUAGUUAUGGCUGGUGGAGCAGGCGGUCAGUCCACGUUUCAUGAUUGAAAAACUGAGAAAGCAGUACUGGAAUCCCACAAGCCCCACACCACUUUCUGAUGCCGUGAACGUUUUUCCUGGUGUGGUGCAUCUGCCUCAGUCAUAGAAGCAGUGUUGGUAAUCAGCAUCGUGGAGGCGGCGUCGGUGGUCAGCGUCGUGGAGGUGGCGUCGGUGGUCAGCGUCGUGGAGGUGGCGUCGGUGGUCAGCAUCGUGGAGGCCAGCGUUGUGAAGGAGAUACUAUCAUAUCCUUUAACAGCCCUGGUGAUGUUCGCUGCUCUGCACAGCACACGGUGACUACAUCCCAGAUCCAGAGCUGCGGAACUCUGGGGCCACGUCUCCAGCGCCGCAUUCGGCGGCACACGGAGGCCUGAGAAGGCGGGAGGGGUCAGUCUCUGGCUUCGAGUAGCAGCAAUACCAGGACAACCAUAGCUGAGUCAUGUCAAGAUGAACCAUAUGGCAUUACCAUUUUUUCACAGAAGAAACUACAAAUUAUGAGAGAGAGGGAGAGAAAGUGGAAGAGACAGAGAGGGGAGAAGAGAGAGGGAAAAGUGGAUGCCAGUGAGGACCCUCAUUCAACCCUAAUCUGGAUUUUCAAGCUCCUGGGGCGCUCAUGAGGACCAAAGAUGGUAAAUGAACUGAAGCAAAGGGAAAAAGGUGAAAAUGAAAACUCUUAGUAACAAUCGGCAGAUGUGUGGCGUUGGGAGACCCACCUGUGGGCUUGGACUGCGUUGCCACACCCUGUGUUAAUAACUGGAUUGGAAAGAAAGAGGAUUACAGCCAAUUUAGACGGAUGCACCCUGCCCACCCUGCGAUGGAGACAGGAUGUGUUUUCUGAGUUAGACGAGUGAUGGGCGAGGGAACUGUCCGCCAAUUCCUUAAACUUUAACUUCAGCCACACCCCUGGUAGCUGUUGGUAGGCACUGCCUCUGAUUUCAGGGGCCUAGGCGGCCGAAUCUCAGAAGGAACCUGUGCAAUAAAUCCCAGUUGAAAGACCUGGCCCAGCCUCUGUUCUCCGGAGUUAUCUGGGGGGCUCCCAAACAUCAUUCCAUGAGAUUAUAAGGGAUUAAGGAAGAAACGAGCUCCCAGAUCAACCAGCAAAUGGAACAGGGAGCAAAGACGCUGAGAGGCAAAUGUGGAGAGAAUGUGGAGGAGGUGAAGAAGGGGCAGGAAAGCAGGCCUGGGGCUCGGGGCUAGUGGUGUGUGUGUUUCCCCGGGCUGCUGGGAGUGGCAGAGAUGGACCCUCUCACCCUCUCACAGCUCUGGGGCUGAAGCCUGACACUGGAUGUCUGCAGGGCCGGGCUCCCUCUCAGCUUCUGGGGACACCAGCCGUCCCCGACAUUCCCUGGCUCAGACGCACCCUCCCAGCUCAGCCUCCAUCAUCACAGGGCCAUCCCCUGGCUCUGCCCUUCACAAGGCCUCGUCGUGGGCUCAGUCCUAAACCCUUCCUACAAGGGCGCUUGCAACACGGGAUCAGGCCCACCCUAGUGAGCUCCUCUGAAAUUAAUGGCAAAGACCCUGUUUCCAAAUAGGGUCCCAUUUACAGGCAUCAGGACUGAAGACUUCACCAUUCCAUUUUUGGGAAAUAGUGCAAACCACAGUGGGAGGGGAGGGGGAACAUUUUAUCAAAUCACAGUGAUGUGAGCACAGGCCUGGCUGCUGAGAGGACAGCACCGUGCAGGGAAGAGACCGACCCUGGAGAGCAGGGAUGGUCGCCUGGACACGGAUUCCGCAUGAGGGACGAUGAUGAGCAGAGAUGAUCUCACGAGGGAGAACGAGGAUCCAGGAGACGCUGACAGCCACCAGCAAAGGCUGACCUGCCAUUUGCAGGGCUUGGCCCUGCAGAGGACAUGGGGCAUGUGGUCACCCCCUCUCCUGUGUUUCCUUUUUCCCCAGGAUCAAUUGGAGAAUUUUCUGUGGCUUCUUCUAAGUUUAGAGUUAACUGCUGUUUUGUGAAAAUGGCCCCGAGGGAAGCUCAGAAUUCUCCCCACCAUGGCUGGUUGAGGGGCUUCCUGGGGAAGCGUUUCUGAAACUCUGCUGUCAGAAAAGCUAACAGCAGGCUGUCCUUGGUAGGACUUGAAUAGUUUAAUAUGAAUUUCUUUUUACAAAAAAUUAUGGUUAUAAAGUAUUUGCUAUACCUUGCUAAGUAUGCAAUGUUGUGCAAACAGAGUGAUUCAUGGUGUUUCAGAACUUGAAAUCAACAGAUUGUAAUAAAAAUGCCCCCACUUAGGAAGAAAGAGGAUGUUGCAGGCAGGUGGUGGAGAUGGGCUUGCUGAAUCUAUGACACUGAUUUGCUUUUCUUACAUACAUAACCCGCUCAUAUUUAAG
rnacentral:lncRNA from 10 species